ACAAGCCCGGCAAUGAUAUCCAGUAUUAUGAAGGUGCCUAGGGUUCUCACAUGGCAUCACCAGUGACCAAGUUAAGAGAAAGACAGAUAAUUUAGUAAAGAAAAUCCAAAUAAAGAAACCACAUCUUGUUGCUUCGUUCUGGACAUUGUACUCAAGUAGUAGACCCCAUGAUUCUGUACAAUUAUCAAACAAAAAACCACCACUUUCAUAUUUAUAAAGCACCAAUAGCAGGGUCAACGUUAAAAUGUCACCAAUGAAAGUAAAAUUUCUCUGAUCUAACUUAACACAGUGUUUUGUUCCUGGCUUCACUCACGUGUGUAAGCAGCGCAUGGGGCAAGGGGGGUUAGUAUUCACAUUCCCACUCGUCAAAUCAUGCAACAAUCCAUUUCGGUUGAAAUUCAACAUCCUAGGAACACCUUCCAUGAAUAUUAUACUACGUAGCAGUCAGCUUUAAGAAACGGGUCUUUUG
rnacentral:misc_RNA from 1 species